UACGUAGGGUGCAAGCGUUGUCCGGAAUUAUUGGGCGUAAAGAGCUCGUAGGCGGUCUGUCGCGUCGGCUGUGAAAACCCGGAGCUCAACUCCGGGCCUGCAGUCGAUACGGGCAAACUGGAGUGUGCAGGGGAGACUGGAAUUCCUGGUGUAGCGGGUGAAAUGCGCAGAUAUCAGGAGGAACACCGGUGGCGAAGGCGGGUCUCGUGGGCAACAACGUGCGCUGGAGGAGCGAAAGCGUGGGGAGGCGA
rnacentral:rRNA from 1 species